rnacentral:rRNA from 1 species
UGGGCCCCGCGUCUGAUUAGUUAGUUGGUGAGGUAACGGCUCACCAAGGCAGCGAUCAGUAGCCGACCUGAGAGGGUGAUCGGCCACAUUGGAACUGAGACACGGCCCAAACUCCUACGGGAGGCAGCAGUGGGGAAUAUUGCACAAUGGGCGAAAGCCUGAUGCAGCGACGCCGCGUGAGUGAAGAAGUAUUUCGGUAUGUAAAGCUCUAUCAGCAGGGAAGAAAAUGACGGUACCUGAGGAGGAAGCCACGGCUAACUAC